CCACAAUGGACGAAAGUCUGAUGGAGCGACGCCGCGUGCGGGAUGAAGGCCUUAUGGGUUGUAAACCGCUGUCAGGGGGGAAGAACAUCGGAAUGAACAAUACUCAUUCCGACUGACGUUACCCCCAGAGGAAGCUCCGGCCAACUCCGUGCCAGCAGCCGCGGUAAUACGGGGGGGAGCAAGCGUUGUCCGGAGUUAUUGGGCGUAAAGGGCGUGUAGGCGGCGAGGUAAGUCGAAUGUGAAAUCUCACGGCUCAACCGUGAAACUGCGUUCGAAACUACCCUGCUUGAGUACGGGAGAGGUGUACGGAAUUCCUGGUGUAGCGGUGGAAUGCGUAGAUAUCAGGAAGAACACCGGUGGCG
rnacentral:rRNA from 1 species